AAAAAGAACCUGAAACCGUGUACGUACAAGCAGUGGGAGCCUCUUAAUGGGGUGACUGCGUACCUUUUGUAUAAUGGGUCAGCGACUUAUAUUCUGUAGCAAGGUUAACCGAAUAGGGGAGCCGAAGGGAAACCGAGUCUUAACUGGGCGUUAAGUUGCAGGGUAUAGACCCGAAACCCGGUGAUCUAGCCAUGGGCAGGUUGAAGGUUGGGUAACACUAACUGGAGGACCGAACCGACUAAUGUUGAAAAAUUAGCGGAUGACUUGUGGCUGGGGGUGAAAGGCCAAUCAAACCGGGAGAUAGCUGGUUCUCCCCGAAAGCUAUUUAGGUAGCGCCUCGUGAAUUCAUCUCCGGGGGUAGAGCACUGUUUCGGCAAGGGGGUCAUCCCGACUUACCAACCCGAUGCAAACUGCGAAUACCGGAGAAUGUUAUCACGGGAGACACACGGCGGGUGCUAACGUCCGUCGUGAAGAGGGAAACAACCCAGACCGCCAGCUAAGGUCCCAAAGUCAUGGUUAAGUGGGAAACGAUGUGGGAAGGCCCAGACAGCCAGGAUGUUGGCUUAGAAGCAGCCAUCAUUAAAGAAAGCGUAAUAGCUCACUGGUCGAGUCGGCCUGCGCGGAAGAUGUAACGGGGCUAAACCAUGCACCGAAGCUGCGGCAGCGACACUAUGUGUUGUUGGGUAGG
rnacentral:rRNA from 1 species